rnacentral:rRNA from 1 species
GUGAGGAAUAUUGGUCAAUGGACGAGAGUCUGAACCAGCCAAGUAGCGUGAAGGAUGACUGCCCUAUGGGUUGUAAACUUCUUUUAUAAGGGAAUAAAGUGAGGGACGUGUCCCUUUUUGUAUGUACCUUAUGAAUAAGGAUCGGCUAACUCCGUGCCAGCAGCCGCGGUAAUACGGAGGAUCCAAGCGUUAUCCGGAUUUAUUGGGUUUAAAGGGAGCGUAGGUUGACAUAUAAGUCAGCUGUGAAAGUUUACGGCUCAACCGUGAAAGUGCAGUUGAUACUGUAUGUCUUGAGUGUACAAGAGGUGGGCGGAAUUCGUGGUGUAGCGGUGAAAUGCUUAGAUAUCACGAAGAACUCCAAUUGCGAAGGCAGCUCACUGGGGUACAACUGACACUGAGGCUCGAAAGUGUGGGUAUCAAACAGGAUUAGAUACCCUUGUAGUCC